rnacentral:rRNA from 1 species
AUGGCGGCGACGUCGUAUUCGUCGUCUUCAUCGGCGGCGGGGGCUGGUGGCGGCGGCGCCGCGGCGGCGACGGCGGCCGGGCUCAAGACCUACUUCAAGACGCCCGAGGGGAGGUACAAGCUGCAGUACGAGAAAGCUCACUCCGCCGCUGUCCUUCACUACAACCACGGCGGGAAGACCGUCUCGCAGUUGACGGUGGCAUACCUGAAGGAGAGGUUGACUGGCCAAGGCUCCACACCAUCAACACCAAGCUCCAGCAGUGGGAUGCGAUCGGCGGCAGCAAGGCUGCUGGGUACCGGGAAUGGUAGCCGCGCACUUAGCUUUGUUGGGGGCAAUGGUGUCAGUCGUGCUGUGUCUGAAAGCAACCGUGUGGGAGGAACCCUUGGUACAUCUACAAGCCUUGGAGGAUCUCAAGCUGUAGCAAACUACGAUGGCAAGGGUGCAUACAUCAUCUACAAUUCUGCGGAUACACUAUUCAUCAGUGACCUUAAUUCCCAGGACAAGGAUCCGCUGAAGUCCAUCCAUUUUAGCAACUCUAACCCAUUGUGCCACGCAUUUGACUCGGAGGCCAAGGAGGGGCAUGACUUAAUCAUUGGGAUGGGAUCAGGGGAUGUUUAUUCAAUGUCGCUGAGGCAACAGCUACAAGAACCUGGAAGGAAGCCUGUUGCAGCCCAACAUUAUAAUAGGGGUGAUAAAGAUGGAAUGAGCAUCAGCAGCCGUUGCACUUCUGUUGCAUGGGUUCCGGAGUGUGAAGGCAUGUUUGUUGUUAGCCACUCUGAUGGAAAUUUGUAUGUGUAUGAUAAAUGCAGAGAUGGAAACACGGAGUGUACAUUUCCAGCUAUAAAGGAUCCAGCUCAGUUGAUGGUUUCACAUGCAAAGUCGAGUAAGAGUAACCCAAUUGCCAGGUGGCAUGUUUGUCAUGGUUCAAUCAAUGCAAUUUCCUUCUCUCCAGAUGGGGCAUACUUGGCGACGGUUGGGCGAGAUGGUUAUUUGAGAGUGUUUGACUUUUCAAAGGAACAGCUAAUAUUUGGUGGCAAAAGUUAUUAUGGCGCUCUCUUGUGUUGCACCUGGAGCUCGGAUGGCAAAUAUCUAUUGACAGGUGGUGAAGAUGAUCUUGUGCAGGUAUGGAGCAUGGACGACAGGAAGACUGUUGCAUGGGGUGAAGGGCAUAAUUCUUGGGUUAGUGGAGUUGCUUUUGAUCCAUAUUGGUCCCCACCAAAUGCUGAUGGAACGGGAGAAAAUGCGGUGUAUCGUUUUGGUUCUGUUGGUCAGGAUACCCAAUUGCUUCUGUGGGAUUUGGCAAUGGAUGAGAUUGUUGUCCCACUACGUCAUCCUUCAGGUGGUUCGCCAACAUUUAGCAGUGGGAGCCCUUCUGCACACUGGGACAGUGCAUGCCCUCCAACAGGUAUUCUUCAACCUUCUCCCAGAAUGCGGGACGUGCCGAAGCUUUCACCUCUUGUCGCCCACCGAGUACAUGCGGAUCCCCUGUCUGGUGUGGUGUUCAGCACUGAAUCAAUCGUCACCAUUUGCCGCGAGGGACUAAUCAAAAUAUGGGCCAGACCUGGCCACAGUGAAAACAAUCAACAGUCAAAUUCUUCCGAGUUUGCUUUAAGCAAUACUGUCUCCAAGGAUAGGGCAAUCACAUCCUUCAGUAAAGCAAGUGUCUCUAGCUUCAAGCAACCUUCAUCGCUUGGCUUGACAUAG